AAUUGGUUCUGUGUUUCUUAUUUAACAAGACGGUUACAUCUACAAGCCAUUCUCAGACAAGACGAGCUGCUUAGGAGAGUCUCAGACUGAGCAGCCUGGAAGGAGCUGAGAGAAGAUAAGCCAACUGCAAACAGACACUGGCUGAACUGCCUAGAAGAAACAAAGACCUUGUUGCUCAGAAGAGGCUGAGACCAACUGAGCCCCCAGAAAGGACACUCUCCAACCCCUUGGGCUGCCUGCAGCCUAUGCAGUGUGCUCCAGGUUCUCAGCUUUUGUGAGCUGUCACCCAUGCUGGGGUGGGCUUUGGUGAUGUGGCUGAGUCAUUUCUGAUCCUCUAGGCUCUUCUGACCGUCUGAGACAUGCCGGGACCUGGAACCCAGGCUGCUGGUGCCAACCCCACUUUCCCACCUAAUGAAUGGCUGGGCUCCCCAUUCUCUCCCUUCAACACCAAGGACUGCUUCGCCUUCCAUCCAGUACCAACAGUUGGGUCUCUGGUGGGGCUACCCGCCUCUGACCAUUCCCCUGGGUGUGAGACUGACCUCAGUAUUCCGUGGACCAGGCAGUCGGGGAACCAAGAAAGAACUGUCCACUUUCUUUUUCUUUGCUCCAAGACCUGCUGUGUCUGUCUGCUCUUUCUCUCUAAAUGUCCUGUUUGCUGCAACGUGCGAAGCAGAGAGGGAGAAGCCAGCUUCGUCUUGCUCAGCACACACCGGUUCUCCCCUUCUAUUUACUCAACUCCUGUUUAUCCUGUGUGUGUGUGCAUGUGACUAUUAACAGCAACCACGUGGC